GACGAACGCUGGCGGCGUGCUUAACACAUGCAAGUCGAACGGAAAGGCCCCUUCGGGGGUACUCGAGUGGCGAACGGGUGAGUAACACGUGAGUAACCUGCCCUUGACUUCGGGAUAACUUCAGGAAACUGGGGCUAAUACCGGAUAGGAAUCCUUGCUGCAUGGUGGGGGUUGGAAAGCUUCGGCGGUUUUGGAUGGACUCGCGGCUUAUCAGCUUGUUGGUGGGGUAGUGGCUUACCAAGGCUUUGACGGGUAGCCGGCCUGAGAGGGCGACCGGCCACAUUGGGACUGAGAUCCGGCCCAGACUCCUACGGGAGGCAGCAGUGGGGAAUAUUGCACAAUGGGCGGAAGCCUGAUGCAGCAACGCCGCGUGCGGGAUGACGGCCUUCGGGUUGUAAACCGCUUUCAGCAGGGGCGAAGCUUGUGGUGACGGUACCUGCAGAAGAAGCACCGGCUAACUACGUG
rnacentral:rRNA from 1 species